CUUAUACUCUCUUCGUUUAACAAAAGAUGUCUCAAAUUUUGGAUGUAUCUAGACAUGACUUAGCGUAUAGAUGCAUUCAUAUUUAGUCAAAAUUGAGACAUCAUUUGUUCGAUGGAGAAAGUAAUUU
rnacentral:pre_miRNA from 1 species